UAUAUUUAAUAUAUAUAUUUAAUAAUAUAUAGUUUCAAAUAAUAUCCUGAAAUUAUGCGACGGGAAAUUCCGGCGAUCCCGAAUAGAGGGCGAAGCUACGAUCGGCCGCGAAGAUUCACGAACAUCCGCGAUACCGAUCUGCGAACGUGUUGCUGAUCGCCGGAGAUCCAAUUGACAAUUAUACAUGUGCACAGGUGUACUGAGCACAUUUCGAGGCGGCCGCACUUAAAGAGAUUCCGCGAUAAUCAAUACUCGGCCGUGGUAACGCCGCACAGUGGAACGGAACAACACAUCCGUGUUUCCUUGGACAUCGUCCGGCCGAAAUUGAUCGUCGAUAUACAUAUUUCUGCCGCGGCUUCGUGAAAUCGUUGUGGAAAACGGACGGAGGAUUUUAUGGAUUUACAUCGUGAAGCAUGUUGACACGGAAAUAGGAAAUGGGAAGACUAUGUCGGAAGAAUAAAAGGAUCGCAGGCCUGUUAUUUUUAACCUGUCGGAACUGUUUUAACGCUUUCGCGACAGCGCCCGAUAACCUCAAAAAAUGUUCGUAAGAUUUAAACUAGAUUUAAACUUAAUAAAAUCAUUCUGGACACUAUAAACGGAUUCGAAGAUAAUUUCACGGUAGUGGAACGGCACUGUACUUCGGUGGACAAUGAGAUUUAAUGAAGCUAUAGUACAACGUUACAACAACG